CUAAGCAGCCCUUACUAGGAUCAGAAUGCAUUGGCAUAGUGAGGAGACGUCUGGGCAUCAAGUUCUGCAGAGAGAAGAUUUAGCUGGAACAAAUCCUGGCGCCAAUCAGAGAGCAGCACUACUGAAAUAGAACUCCCAGGAGUGAGGGGCCGGUGCUGGACACUGUGUAGGGACGCGGGAAUGCAAAGUCAUACACAUGACUGUGACUGAUGCACUAUCUCCAGGACAUGGAGUAGCAUUUCCGGACCUACAGCAAGACGUUGGAUGAAGGCAUAGCCCCAGAAAUAACACUGGUCCUGUUCAUCAGUGAGGGGCCGAUGCUGGACACUGUGUAGGGACACGGGAAUGCAAAGUCAUGCACAUGACUGUGACUGAUGCACUAUUUCCAGGACAUGGAGUAGCAUUUCGGGACCUACAGCAAGACGUUGGAUGAAGGCACAGGCCUAGGAAUCAUGCACAUACACAGAAACAUUUGCCCAAAUUAUAGAGGUAACCUCCUUUAGUAUGCCCAGAGGAAGGGCCAUACAGUAGCCAUGGAUUCCCUACAGGUUUCCUCCCCUCUGGAGGUUUUUCCUGUCCUGAGUAUUAGUUACUGUACGCUCUUUGUGAGUGAUGGGAGGUUACAAAAAAUCCCCUACACAAACAUUUUAAUAAAUAAUAAAUAAAG